AUUGAACGCUGGCGGCAUGCUUUACACAUGCAAGUCGAACGGUAACAGGUUAAGCUGACGAGUGGCGAACGGGUGAGUAAUGCAUCGGAACGUGCCCGAUCGUGGGGGAUAACACUUCGAAAGAAGUGCUAAUACCGCAUACGAUCUGAGGAUGAAAGCGGGGGACCGUAAGGCCUCGCGCGAUAGGAGCGGCCGAUGUCAGAUUAGGUAGUUGGUGGGGUAAAGGCUCACCAAGCCGACGAUCUGUAGCUGGGCUGAGAGGACGACCCGCCACACUGGGACUGAGACACGGCCCAGACUCCUACGGGAGGCAGCAGUGGGGAAUUUUGGACAAUGGGCGCAAGCCUGAUCCAGCAAUGCCGCGUGCAGGAAGAAGGCCUUCGGGUUGUAAACUGCUUUUGUACGGAGCGAAAAGGCUCCCUCUAAUACAGGGGGCUCAUGACGGUACCGUAAGAAUAAGCACCGGCUAACUACGUGCCAGCAGCCGCCGUAA
rnacentral:rRNA from 1 species